GGGCACGUAGCUCAGUCCGGACAGAGCGUCGGACUUCUAAUCCGACGGUUCGUGGGUUCGAAUCCCACCGUGCCCG
rnacentral:tRNA from 3 species